rnacentral:rRNA from 1 species
AUUGAACGCUGGCGGCAGGCUUAACACAUGCAAGUCGAGCGGAGAUGAGGUGCUUGCACCUUAUCUUAGCGGCGGACGGGUGAGUAAUGCUUAGGAAUCUGCCUAUUAGUGGGGGACAACAUUCCGAAAGGAAUGCUAAUACCGCAUACGUCCUACGGGAGAAAGCAGGGGAUCUUCGGACCUUGCGCUAGUAGAUGAGCCUAAGUCGGAUUAGCUAGUUGGGGGGGUAAAGGCCUACCAAGGCGACGAUCUGUAGCGGGUCUGAGAGGAUGAUCCGCCACACUGGGACUGAGACACGGCCCAGACUCCUACGGGAGGCAGCAGUGGGGAAUAUUGGACAAUGGGGGGAACCCUGAUCCAGCCAUGCCGCGUGUGUGAAGAAGGCCUUAUGGUUGUAAAGCACUUUAAGCGAGGAGGAGGCUACUGAGACUAAUACUCUUGGAUAGUGGACGUUACUCGCAGAAUAAGCACCGGCUAACUCUGUGCCAGCCGCCGCCGUAAAAC